rnacentral:rRNA from 1 species
UGGCGGGUGCUUAACACAUGCAAGUUGAGCGAGAAAGGUCCUUCGGGACUGAGUACAGCGGCGAACGGGUGAGUAACACGUGGGUAACCUACCCCGAAGACCGGGACAACAGCUCGAAAGGGCUGCUAAUACUGGAUGACGUGACGUCUGCUAAGUGGGUGUCACCAGAAAGGUAGCUUCGGCCUCCGCUUCGGGAUGGGCCCGCGCAGCAUUAGCUUGUUGGUAGGGUAACGGCCUACCAAGGCUGCGAUGCUUAGCUGGUCUGAGAGGACGAUCAGCCACACUGGGACUGAGAUACGGCCCAGACUCCUACGGGAGGCAGCAGUGGGGAAUCUUGCGCAAUGGGCGAAAGCCUGACGCAGCAACGCCGCGUGAGCGAAGAAGGCCUUCGGGUUGUAAAGCUCUGUCAGGAGGGACGAAGCCACUCGGGUGAAUAGCCCAGAGGGUGACGGUACCUCCAGAGGAAGCCCCGGCUAACUACGUGCCAGCAGCCGCGGUAAUACGUAGGGGGCAAGCGUUGUCCGGAAUUAUUGGGCGUAAAGAGCGUGUAGGCGGCUUGUCAAGUCCGGUGUGAAAUCUCGGGGCUCAACCCCGAAACUGCAUUGGAAACUGGCUUGCUAGAGUCCGGAAGAGGAGAUUGGAAUUCCUGGUGUAGCGGUGAAAUGCGCAGAUAUCAGGAAGAACACCCCGUGGCGAAGGCGGAUCUCUGGGACGGUACUGACGCUGAGACGCGAAAGCGUGGGGAGCAAACAGGAUUAGAUACCCUGGUAGUCCACGCCCGUAAACGAUGGGCACUAGGUGUGGGGGGUGUCGA